GCCGGGCGUGGUGGCGGGCGCCUGUAAUCCCAGCUACUGGGAGGCUGAGGCAGGAGAAUGGCGUGAACCCAGGAGGUGGAGCUUGCAGUGAGCCGAGAUCGCGCCACUGCACUCCACCCUGGGCGACAGAGCGAGACUCUGUCUCGA
rnacentral:SRP_RNA from 1 species